rnacentral:misc_RNA from 1 species
AUAUGCAACACCUUUACCUUUUGUUUGGGAUGUAUAACCACCACCACCACCAUAAUGAGAGCCACACAAUUGUUGAUAUAUGCAUCACCUUGCUGGAGAUGAGUCACAAGCAUUGCUAGGACUAUCGCUUUGUCUUUGACUAGAUAGAUUUGAUGAAAUCAGAGGUUUUAGAGAGUAUUUUCUAAUAUAUUUCUCACUGUCAAAAUACUCUAUAUAUUCUACUAUUUAUACACAAGAAUCAUAAUCAUAUAAGGAAACCUAAAUCAAUGGAAAACUAAUAGAAAUAAUAAACAAGAUAUACAAAAGAGGGAAAAAAAAAAAAA